rnacentral:rRNA from 1 species
UACGUAGGCAGCGAGCGUUGUUCGGAAUUACUGGGCGUAAAGAGUGUGUAGGCGGUGUUCCCAGUCUGUUGUGAAAUCUCCCGGCUUAACUGGGAGGGUGCAGCGGAAACUAGAAUGCUAGAGGGUGGGAGAGGUAAGCGGAAUUCCUGGUGUAGCGGUGAAAUGCGUAGAUAUCAGGAGGAACACCAGUGGCGAAGGCAGCACUCUGGGACGUGACUGACGCUGAGACGCGAAAGCGUGGGGAGCAAACAGG